UACGUAGGGUGCAAGCGUUAAUCGGAAUUACUGGGCGUAAAGCGUGCGCAGGCGGCUAUGCAAGACAGAUGUGAAAUCCCCGGGCUCAACCUGGGAACUGCAUUUGUGACUGCAUGGCUAGAGUACGGUAGAGGGGGAUGGAAUUCCGCGUGUAGCAGUGAAAUGCGUAGAUAUGCGGAGGAACACCGAUGGCGAAGGCAAUCCCCUGGACCUGUACUGACGCUCAUGCACGAAAGCGUGGG
rnacentral:rRNA from 1 species